AUUUAGUUUAACUCUACAUCCUCCUUUCUUUUUCUUCAGAUUAAAGACAUUUACUGUCAGAGGCUUCAACAAAUUUUCAGGUAUUGUGAUCCAAAGACAGGGCUGCCUUAUGCUACAAAAGAAGCAUUCAAAAUCAUUCGUAAACAGUUAAACAAUGUUAUGUACAUGUGCAAAGAACAUGAGGAUAUUAGCAAGAUGGGAGAACAAUUGACUGCCUUGGCUUUUGAUCUAAGAGAGAUGUAUUUUUUUUAAAGUAAAUAUUAUGUAUUGUAAGUAGCUGACUUUUUUUUUGCCAUUUAUUCAUUUUAUUGAGAAACUACCUUUUGAUU